GCACAGAGAGCUUGCUCUCGGGUGACGAGCGGCGGACGGGUGAGUAAUGUCUGGGAAACUGCCUGAUGGAGGGGGAUAACUACUGGAAACGGUAGCUAAUACCGCAUAAUGUCGCAAGACCAAAGUGGGGGACCUUCGGGCCUCAUGCCAUCAGAUGUGCCCAGAUGGGAUUAGCUAGUAGGUGGGGUAACGGCUCACCUAGGCGACGAUCCCUAGCUGGUCUGAGAGGAUGACCAGCCACACUGGAACUGAGACACGGUCCAGACUCCUACGGGAGGCAGCAGUGGGGAAUAUUGCACAAUGGGCGCAAGCCUGAUGCAGCCAUGCCGCGUGUGUGAAGAAGGCCUUCGGGUUGUAAAGCACUUUCAGCGGGGAGGAAGGCGAUGAGGUUAAUAACCUUGUCGAUUGACGUUACCCGCAGAAGAAGCACCGGCUAACUCCGUGCCAGCAGCCGCGGUAAUACGGAGGGUGCAAGCGUUAAUCGGAAUUACUGGGCGUAAAGCGCACGCAGGCGGUCUGUCAAGUCGGAUGUGAAAUCCCCGGGCUCAACCUGGGAACUGCAUUCGAAACUGGCAGGCUAGAGUCUUGUAGAGGGGGGUAGAAUUCCAGGUGUAGCGGUGAAAUGCGUAGAGAUCUGGAGGAAUACCGGUGGCGAAGGCGGCCCCCUGGACAAAGACUGACGCUCAGGUGCGAAAGCGUGGGGAGCAAACAGGAUUAGAUACCCUGGUAGUCCACGCCGUAAACGAUGUCGAUUUGGAGGUUGUGCCCUUGAGGCGUGGCUUCCGGAGCUAACGCGUUAAAUCGACCGCCUGGGGAGUACGGCCGCAAGGUUAAAACUCAAAUGAAUUGACGGGGGCCCGCACAAGCGGUGGAGCAUGUGGUUUAAUUCGAUGCAACGCGAAGAACCUUACCUGGUCUUGACAUCCACA
rnacentral:rRNA from 1 species